AUUGUUCUAUAACCANGAUNUNUUCUUGCUACACAUGCGCGACUAUCAUGUAUCAUAUUUCCCGGAUUGUAACGGUGGUCGAUACUUUUAUGCAUGUAAUAAAUGUACACCAUGGCGAGCUAUGAUGAACAUCGAGUCGUUACUUGAUCAUCACAGAGCCAGACAUUUUAAGCGCACUAAGUUUUGCUACAUAUGCGGUAAAAUCGUAAAAAGUCACCUAAGGAAUCAUUUGAAUAACCAUUUUAUCAGUAAAUGGCGCAUAUGUCGACGAGAAACUUGUAACGAACCAUGUCUUACAUUGAUCGAUCUCAGGGAGCAUGUAAGAGCGAAUCAUCCCACAAUAUUAGUAUGUGAUAGAUGUUUUACGAUUCGCGCAUGGUAUGAAACACAGGAAUUACUUCAAGACCAUAUUCGAGUAGUACAUGCUAAUCAAUUAGAAUUAUCGUAAAUACAGUCAACUAUAUAUAUGCAUGCUUAUCUAUAUGUACAAACGGAUCAGAUUUUAAUUGCCAAUAUGACUUAAGAUAUCACGUAAUACAAUUUAUAGAUCUUUCUGUACAUAAUAAGUGUGUUUUACGAUAUUUGAUAUGUAAAUAAGAUAAAAGUGGAGAAAGUGACAUUAUUAAUGUACAGUAUCUUUGAUAAGUAUACAUUUGUGUUGGAAUCGGUAGAUAUAAAUGGUGGAGAAAAAUAAUCUUUUCUGCAAAAUUAAACAUAUAAAAUAAAGUGUUGUAUGUAACUUAUAGUUUU